rnacentral:rRNA from 1 species
AACGAACGCUAGCGGUGCGUUUUUCAAGCAUGCAAGUCGAACGGUAUUUACUUUUUUAUUUUUAUAAAGAAGUAAGAGAGUGGCGAACGGGUGAGUAACACGUAGGUAAUCUGCCUUUUCAGUCUGGGGAUAGCCAGUGGAAACAUUGGGUAAUACCGGAUACUUCUUAUGCAAGGAAUUGUAUAAGAGAAAAGUACUUUUGUGCUGCUGAUAGAGGAGCCUGCGCUUGAUUAGCUUGUUGGUGGGGUAAUGGCCUACCAAGGCGACGAUCAAUAGCCGGCCUGAGAGGGUGUACGGCCACACUGGGACUGAGACACGGCCCAGACUCCUACGGGAGGCAGCAGCUAAGAAUCUUCCGCAAUGGGCGAAAGCCUGUCGGAGCGACACCGCGUGGAUGAAGAAGGCCGUGAGGUUGUAAAAUCCUUUUAUUGUUGAGGAAUAAUUAUUAUGCUUAAGUGUAAUAUGAUGACGGUAGGCAAUGAAUAAGCCCCGGCUAAUUACGUG